CUCCCCUGUCUCCUUCGGAUCCGGCGACAGAGGCAACGGCGCCCACGACGCCCCGACCCCGCGGCCGACGUUCAUGGCAGCGCGGCUGCUGCACGCGCCGGAGCAGCGUGCGUCGGGCCGAGCCCCGCGCGCUCCUCCGUCGAGCGUGGCCGCCGGCGCCGUCCCAUCCUUCGGGCGGGGAGGCCGCGUGGAGGCCGGCGGUGGCGGACACCGGCGACCGGCCACCCGUUCCACGCGCCAUGGAGGCGGUGUAGUGGCGGCGGCCUCCUCACACGUUGAUAUUGCCGUGUGGCUCCGUCCCGAAGGGCGGAUAGGCGUCACCGUGGCUCCUUCUUGGCCGACCGGCGGAUCAUUUUGAGGCGACGAGCGGCGCACGCGGUGGAGCACCUCGCACGCCGUCGUCCGUUAGGAGUGCAUCCGCCAACAUGAGACUUAGUCACAGGUCAGUUCUUUGAUGUAUAUCAAGCAACCUUGAAACCAAUAGUUCUGACAUUCUGGCUCAGAUUCAGAAGACACAAUGCUUUUGGGUUUGGAACUUUUGUUCAGAUUCGAAAGAUACAUAUGAUACUCUCUCCGAUCCAUAUUAAUGGUCUCAAAUUUGUCAAAAUAUGAAUGUAUCUAUGUCUAAAACGCGUCUAGACACAUGUAAUAUUUCAACAACUAAUAUGGAUCGGAGGGAGUAGAUCUUUAGUUUGUUUCACUUUGGUUUCAGAGUUACAGACAAGUACCUUCCCUAUCUAUUGUUCGAGACAUCACUUUAGAAGAAAUCGACGUAUCUUCUCAAAUGAGAUGAAAGAGCCCGAGGAGGUGGCGCAUAUCAUCCAUGAAGAUUUUAAUAUGUUUAGGAGGACAACCUUGCCAAGGUUGCAUGUUGUAAUUACAGAUAGCGAAUAAUUUUCUUUUGCUGUUAUAUGGGGGUUUUCUCGCUAACCUUGACCCUUAUAACCAAGGUUAGCGGCAGUCUUUCCCUUCUUUAAUGAACGGCAGAGCUCCUGCCAUCUUUCCUAAUAAAACAGAAGUUAAUAUUUGAUGCCUUUCUAUAGAUUUUACUUGUAGCCCCAUAUGCUACUUCAGAUUCUAAACCGAGGCAUUUCAAACAUA